rnacentral:tRNA from 1 species
GGAUUGUGGCUGAGUGGUAGAGCGCUCGCCUUGCACGUGCAAGGCCUGGGUUCGAUCCUCAGCACCA